CUUUCUCCACGCAUCAGAUGGUAACUGCAUCGCAGGGGCAAACUCGUCACGGGAGGGAUGUUGUUGUAGACGCUCCAGAAAUCCUGCACUGUUUGUACUCUGUAAAUCUUCUUCAGGUUUGAGGCACAUUCAGCUGCUGUGGUACCAGGCAGGGACUUGUCGAGCCAGAAGGUCCACGCCGAGUGCAGCGGCAGCCCCGGGGCUUCGGCCCCCUCCUCGUCACCGCCCCGUGAUCGCGGGGGCUCCGGGCCCGGGGCGCUCAGCUCCAUGUCCUGCCCGGCCGGGCCCGCAGUACCGCCCCCGAGGGAUGGGGCGGGACGGGGGAGGGCGCGGGGUGGGGACCUGGGAUGGCCAAGUCCAACCCCCGGCUGCUCCGAGCGACAUCACUCGACCCC
rnacentral:lncRNA from 1 species